UGCGCAGGCGGAUUAAUAAGUCGGGGGUUAAAUCCAUGUGCUUAACACAUGCACGGCUUCCGAUACUGUUGAUCUAGAGUCUCGAAGAGGAAGGUGGAAUUUCCGGUGUAACGGUGGAAUGUGUAGAUAUCGGAAAGAACACCAGUGGCGAAGGCAGCCUUCUGGUCGAGUACUGACGCUCAUGCACGAAGCGUGGGGAGCAAACA
rnacentral:rRNA from 1 species